UACGGAGGGUGCAAGCGUUAUCCGGAUUCACUGGGUUUAAAGGGUGCGUAGGCGGGCUGAUAAGUCAGUGGUGAAAGCUCCGAGCUUAACUUGGAAACUGCCAUUGAUACUGCCAGUCUUGAAUGUCGUAGAGGUAAGCGGAAUGUUGCAUGUAGCGGUGAAAUGCUUAGAUAUGUUACAGAACACCAAUUGCGAAGGCAGCUACUAUGCGAUGAUUGACGCUGAGGCACGAAAGCGUGGGAGCAAAACAGG
rnacentral:rRNA from 1 species